UGGAUGGGGCCCCUAUGUGUGGUGAUAAAUAUUAACUAAUCUUAUUGUGGUAGUCAUGUUGCAAUCUAGACAAAUAUCAAAUCAUUCUGGUGUGCAUCUUAAACAUACACAAUGCCAUAUGUUAAUUCUGCCUCAAUAAAAAUGAGGAGGGGGAAGGUGCUUUUCUUCUCCCCGACAGCACAGUCUUGCCUAUGUUCCUACGGCAGCUGUGAUGGUCAAGGAGCCCACUUACGUGAUGCCUGACAGGGAAUGUCCCUCAGGGGUCUGAGGUGCCGGUAGGGAAGAGGAAAGAGGAGGGGAGGAAAAGCAAAGCUAGCAAAGCAGAGGGAGAAGCAAGGCAGAAGGAGAGAGAAAACCGCUCUCCUGUCUUCCUCUCGCAUCCUUGUAGCCAGUUCUGUGGUCACAUCACCAACAGCCGGCCAUUUGUCACCAUCUUCCAGGUGGCCUCCCCCCUCACCCAGGCUGCUUUCAGAAAUGAGCAAAAGAGGUGUGUGGGGGCAGAAGACCCAGAAAUCUUGGCUUGUCAUCUGAAGCUUUUGAACCCAGGCAAACCGUAAGCCUCCCUGGGUCUGUUUCCUCAUCUGUAAAAGUCAUAAGCUGGCUUUUCCCUGGAACACUACCAUAAACUCCAAGCUCCCACCACUCAUGGGCCAGCACCUUCAUAGUCCUGCAUUCAUUCAGCCCUUGACUGAGCACAGACUGCCUGCCAAGCACUGAUCCAGGCCCUGGGGGUGCUUCUGCGAGCCAGCAAGACAAGUCUGCUGUCCUCAAGGACCUCCGAGAGGGCCCUCUGCAGUCUACCUGGUGCUCUCUUGCCGGAAUCGUCCCUCCCUGGACAAGUCCUCCCAGCUUCCAGUUCCCUCUCCUCUAUGAAGCCUUUCUGAAUUCCUAUUAACUCAUGAUCUUGUCCCUCUUUUUUCCCUACGGCACCUGAAGGCUGCUUCAUACAAUUCGAUGUGUGUCAUUUUAUUUCAUAAAAUUCCCACAGAUUGAAAGCACCGUGCAGGAAUCUAUUUUUCCACAUCCUCACAACCCCGAGGAGACGCACGAAAUGCCUAUUGAUUUCAGAAGAGUACACCAGAAAGGCGGGGCAUGUGGGAGAAACUUUCUGAGGGAGAACCCCCUAUGACCACUCUGUGUCACAUGCACGAUGGGCUGGUUGGCUCCUUGGGAAGGGCAGCACCAGCGAGGACAGACUGAUUCAUGGCUUGUCCAAAGCCAACCACAGGGGAAGCCACGCUCAAGGACAUGUUCCUGCCGCCAGCGAAAGACGAGUGUCUCCUAGCAACCAGAUUCCAGUGGCUUCCUGGCCUCCAGAGUUUGCCCCUGCUCACUGCUUUGUUGCCUCUGGGUUUGCAUUUUGGCGUUUGCUGACCAUGGCAUUCAUUCUUGAUUCCAAAACUUGAGGAAGAAUGUCUGAUCCCCAAGCUAGCUGACUGGACUAGCUCUGAGAACCAUUUCAUUCAUGACAUCCUUUCGGUAAUGCUAGAACUUUCAAGGAACAGAAUGUUUGCUCUUAGCUUAAAAAGGGUGAAUACAUUUUCCCCCAAGAUUGUUAUUUAUAUCAGAGCAGCUGGUUUGAAAGAUACAUAAAAAGGGAAGAGCAUACAUUCUUUCCAUCAAAUAAUCAAAAAGUACUCAGACAUUUUCAAAAAAGAUACACUGUCAUUCAAAACCUGUUUCAGCAAUAAACUUUAACUUGGCAAAUUCACAGAUGCAGAAGGAAAGGCAAGUCGAAUUUGAAGAAAAUGACUCAAGGUCCUUAAAAGUUUGGAUGGCUAAUAAAAUUAUGUCUGCUGCAAUA